AUGUGCAGAGAAGUCGAAAGAAAACAUCACUUCAUUCCAAAAGACCCAAUGAAUGUCAAGAGAUUCAGAUCAACCAGUUCCAGGAUCCAAAUGCAUGACUCAACCAAGUCCAACCAGACCUGCAGAGAGGAUCCCAGGUGCCAAGUGGUGCCUUGCUUUUCAGCCAAGGACAAGGAAAUUACUCCCUUUGAUCUUGGCCUCUAUGAGAAGGAAAUUCCUGGCCUUCAGCCCUGUGGCAUCACAGGGCACCCUUGGAACUUGGAGAUCAAUGGAAGUUAUGGAAUGUUGGAAUGAAGAUAAGCCAAACUGCUAAUUUCUUGUUCAUUCUCAUUAACAAAUAAGCAAAAUAAAAGUUUUUAUCAUGGAGCA
rnacentral:lncRNA from 1 species